rnacentral:rRNA from 1 species
AUUGAACGCUGGCGGCAGGCCUAACACAUGCAAGUCGAGCGGAUGAAGGGAGCUCGCUCCUGGAUUCAGCGGCGGACGGGUGAGUAAUGCCUAGGAAUCUGCCUGGUAGUGGGGGAUAACGUCCGGAAACGGGCGCUAAUACCGCAUACGUCCUGAGGGAGAAAGUGGGGGAUCUUCGGACCUCACGCUAUCAGAUGAGCCUAGGUCGGAUUAGCUAGUUGGUGGGGUAAAGGCCUACCAAGGCGACGAUCCGUAACUGGUCUGAGAGGAUGAUCAGUCACACUGGAACUGAGACACGGUCCAGACUCCUACGGGAGGCAGCAGUGGGGAAUAUUGGACAAUGGGCGAAAGCCUGAUCCAGCCAUGCCGCGUGUGUGAAGAAGGUCUUCGGAUUGUAAAGCACUUUAAGUUGGGAAGAAGGGCAGUAAGUUAAUACCUUGCUGUUUUGACGUUACCAACAGAAUAAGCACCGGCUAACUUCGUG